rnacentral:rRNA from 1 species
CACUCCUACGGGAGGCAGCAGUGGGGAAUUUUGGACCAUGGGCGAAAGCCUGAUCCAGCAAUGCCGCGUGAGUGAAGAAGGCCUUCGGGUUGUAAAGCUCUUUUGUCAGGGAAGAAACGGUGAAAGCUAAUAUCUUUUGCUAAUGACGGUACCUGAAGAAUAAGCACCGGCUAACUACGUGCCAGCAGCCGCGGUAAUACGUAGGGUGCAAGCGUUAAUCGGAAUUACUGGGCGUAAAGCGUGCGCAGGCGGUUUUGUAAGUCUGAUGUGAAAUCCCCGGGCUCAACCUGGGAAUUGCAUUGGAGACUGCAAGGCUAGAAUCUGGCAGAGGGGGGUAGAAUUCCACGUGUAGCAGUGAAAUGCGUAGAUAUGUGGAGGAACACCGAUGGCGAAGGCAGCCCCCUGGGUCAAGAUUGACGCUCAUGCACGAAAGCGUGGGGAGCAAACAGGAUUAGAAACCCCAGUAGUCCCAUGAU